AACGAACGCUGGCGGCAUGCCUAACACAUGCAAGUCGAACGAUGCCUUCGGGCAUAGUGGCGCACGGGUGCGUAACGCGUGGGAAUCUGCCUUUCGGUUCGGAAUAACUCAGGGAAACUUGAGCUAAUACCGGAUAACGUCGCAAGACCAAGGAUUUAUCACCGAAAGAUGAGCCCGCGUAGGAUUAGCUAGUUGGUGAGGUAAAGGCUCACCAAGGCGACGAUCCUUAGCUGGUCUGAGAGGAUGAUCAGCCACACUGGGACUGAGACACGGCCCAGACUCCUACGGGAGGCAGCAGUGGGGAAUAUUGGACAAUGGGCGAAAGCCUGAUCCAGCAAUGCCGCGUGAGUGAUGAAGGCCUUAGGGUUGUAAAGCUCUUUUACCCGGGAAGAUGAUGACGGUACCGGGAGAAUAAGCCCCGGCUAACUCCGUG
rnacentral:rRNA from 1 species